GGAUCCAGACUUUGAUUAUGGCUCAGGAUGAACGCUAGCUACAGGCUUAACACAUGCAAGUCGAGGGGAAACGACAUUGGAAGCUUGCUUCCGAUGGGCGUCGACCGGCGCACGGGUGAGUAACGCGUAUCCAACCUGCCCACCACUUGGGAAUAACCUUGCGAAAGUAAGACUAAUGCCCAAUGACGUUGAAAGAAGACAUCUGAUUUCAACUAAAGAUUCAUCGGUGAUGGAUGGGGAUGCGUCCGAUUAGCUUGUUGGCGGGGUAACGGCCCACCAAGGCAACGAUCGGUAGGGGUUCUGAGAGGAAGGUCCCCCACAUUGGAACUGAGACACGGUCCAAACUCCUACGGGAGGCAGCAGUGAGGAAUAUUGGUCAAUGGGCGAGAGCCUGAACCAGCCAAGUAGCGUGCAGGAUGACGGCCCUAUGGGUUGUAAACUGCUUUUAUAAGGGAAUAAAGUGGGGCUCGUGAGCUCCUUUGCAUGUACCUUAUGAAUAAGGACCGGCUAAUUCCGUGCCAGCAGCCGCGGUAAUACGGAAGGUCCGGGCGUUAUCCGGAUUUAUUGGGUUUAAAGGGAGCGUAGGCCGCAGGUUAAGCGUGUUGUGAAAUGUAGGGGCUCAACCUCUGCACUGCAGCGCGAACUGGCUUGCUUGAGUACGCACAACGUGGGCGGAAUUCGUGGUGUAGCGGUGAAAUGCUUAGAUAUCACGAAGAACUCCGAUUGCGAAGGCAGCUCACGGGAGCGCAACUGACGCUGAAGCUCGAAAGUGCGGGUAUCGAACAGGAUUAGAUACCCUGGUAGUCCGCACGGUAAACGAUGGAUGCCCGCUGUUGGCUUGAAUUAGUCAGCGGCCAAGCGAAAGCAUUAAGCAUCCCACCUGGGGAGUACGCCGGCAACGGUGCAACUCAAAUGAAUUGACGG
rnacentral:rRNA from 1 species